GACGAACGCUGGCGGCGUGCCUAAUACAUGCAAGCAGAACGCUGAAGGAGGAGCUUGCUCUUCUGGAUGAGUUGCGAACGGGUGAGUAACGCGUAGGUAACCUGCCUGGUAGCGGGGGAUAACUAUUGGAAACGAUAGCUAAUACCGCAUAAGAGUAGAUGUUGCAUGACAUUUGCUUAAAAGGUGCAAUUGCAUCACUACCAGAUGGACCUGCGUUGUAUUAGCUAGUUGGUGGGGUAACGGCUCACCAAGGCAACGAUACAUAGCCGACCUGAGAGGGUGAUCGGCCACACUGGGACUGAGACACGGCCCAGACUCCUACGGGAGGCAGCAGUAGGGAAUCUUCGGCAAUGGACGGAAGUCUGACCGAGCAACGCCGCGUGAGUGAAGAAGGUUUUCGGAUCGUAAAGCUCUGUUGUAAGAGAAGAACGAGUGUGAGAGUGGAAAGUUCACACUGUGACGGUAUCUUACCAGAAAGGGACGGCUAACUACGUGCCAGCAGCCGCGGUAAUACGUAGGUCCCGAGCGUUGUCCGGAUUUAUUGGGCGUAAAGCGAGCGCAGGCGGUUAGAUAAGUCUGAAGUUAAAGGCUGUGGCUUAACCAUAGUACGCUUUGGAAACUGUUUAACUUGAGUGCAAGAGGGGAGAGUGGAAUUCCAUGUGUAGCGGUGAAAUGCGUAGAUAUAUGGAGGAACACCGGUGGCGAAAGCGGCUCUCUGGCUUGUAACUGACGCUGAGGCUCGAAAGCGUGGGGAGCAAACAGG
rnacentral:rRNA from 1 species